GGGCCCGUAGCUCAGCGGUCAGAGCAGUGGACUCAUAAUCCAUUGGUCGCUGGUUCGAAUCCAGCCGGGCCCA
rnacentral:tRNA from 1 species